rnacentral:rRNA from 1 species
AUCAGUGGCGAACGGGUGAGUAACACGUGAGUAACCUGCCCCAGACUCUGGGAUAAGCACUGGAAACGGUGUCUAAUACCGGAUACGAGCUUCAGCCGCAUGGCUAGGAGUUGGAAAGAAUUUCGGUCUGGGAUGGACUCGCGGCCUAUCAGCUAGUUGGUGAGGUAAUGGCUCACCAAGGCGACGACGGGUAGCCGGCCUGAGAGGGUGACCGGCCACACUGGGACUGAGACACGGCCCAGACUCCUACGGGAGGCAGCAGUGGGGAAUAUUGCACAAUGGGCGCAAGCCUGAUGCAGCAACGCCGCGUGAGGGACGACGGCCUUCGGGUUGUAAACCUCUUUUAGUAGGGAAGAAGCGAAAGUGACGGUACCUGCAGAAAAAGCACCGGCUAACUACGUGCCAGCAGCCGCGGUAAUACGUAGGGUGCAAGCGUUAAUCGGAAUUACUGGGCGUAAAGCGUGCGCAGGCGG